rnacentral:rRNA from 1 species
AACAAACGCUGGUGGCGUGCUUAACACAUGCAAGUCUGACGGGAAUGUCGGCUUCGGCUGGCUAGUACCGUGGCGCACGGGUGAGUAACACGUGGGUAAUCUACCCUAGAGCCUGGGAUAACCUUGCGAAAGCGGGGCUAAUACCAGAUAAGACCACGCUUUGUUCGCAGAGCGCGGUAAAAGGUGGCCUCUUCAUGAAAGCUAUCACUCGCGGAUGAGCCCGCGGCCUAGUAGCUAGUUGGUGGGGUAAUGGCCUACCAAGGCGACGAUGGGUAGCCGGCCUGAGAGGGUGUACGGCCACACUGGCACUGAGACACGGGCCAGACUCCUACGGGAGGCAGCAGUGGGGAAUUUUGCGCAAUGGGGGAAACCCUGACGCAGCAACGCCGCGUGAGUGAUGAAGGCCUUCGGGUUGUAAAGCUCUUUUAGUGGGGAAGAAGCCCUCCAGGACGAAUAAUCCUGGGGUCUGACGGUACCUACAGAAAAAGUUCCGGCUAACUACGUGCCAGCAGCCGCAGUAACAC